UCCGAUUUGUUGGACCAAUCGAUAUCGGAUUGAGUCCACAGCUUGGGAACAUCAUAAUGUCGUGGGUGCAGUCAUUUGGUGAGUUUUGAGUGAAAUCGAAUUGCCAAAACUAUGCAAUACACCAACCACUCCAUUAGAGAACAAACUUCGUACGAACAUCAAUAGUCCAAUUUCUUGAACCAAUCGAUAUCGGAUUGAGUCCAAAACUUGGGGAACAUCAUAAUAUGGUGGGAGGAGUCAUACGGUGAGCUUUGAG
rnacentral:lncRNA from 1 species